GACGUAGGGCGCAAGCGUUGUCCGGAUUUAUUGGGCGUAAAGAGCUCGUAGGCGGCCUGUCGCGUCGACCGUGAAAACCCGCAGCUCAACUGCGGGCUUGCGGUCGAUACGGGCAGGCUGGAGUUCGGUAGGGGAGACUGGAAUUCCUGGUGUAGCGGUGAAAUGCGCAGAUAUCAGGAAGAACACCCGUGGCGAAGGCGGCUCUCUGGGACGGUACUGACGCUGAGACGCGAAAGCGUGGGGAGCGAACAGG
rnacentral:rRNA from 1 species